AAACAACAACAAAAAAACAUGAAGUAAGGAAACCUGUCAUGCUCUGACUUUUAUUUAUUUCAUAUUUUGUUUGUAAGUUUUAAGUACCCCACAUCAAGACCUAACCCAUGUUGUGAUGGUGUCACUUUUCAGAGGGUGCACUGUGUUUCUGUCAUGAGUCAGAAUUCUAGUAUUGAUGAUGAAUGCUUUAGCAUCUGCUUGAUAUUCUAAUACUGAAUUUAAGGAUUAUAUUAAAUUAUUGGAA